UUCCAUCCCWGAAAAGCUAAAAAGCUAGCCCCUGAAUACUGCUUUCUUUUUUUGCUUUUCAAGUUAUUAAUAGAUCAUAAUAMUGUGCAUCCGGCAGGAAUUGAACCCCGACUUCCCAAUUAUGAGUUGGGUGCUUUUACYMUUCAVCCAUGGAUGCAUGAUAAAAUUCUAAAUGGYUKAAAUCCUUAAAACUCUUGUUUUUUUUUAACAAAAUGUAACUAAUUUGUCAGAGAGUUGCGUUGCAAGAUUGUUUAUCUUGCACCCCAUUACUUUMAUGYCCGGUUACAGUUUGAUCUCRAAACUGACUAGUCUKAAMCUUURAKRWGUAURUAGUUGUUUUAUUUUUCGU
rnacentral:misc_RNA from 1 species